rnacentral:misc_RNA from 1 species
AUCAAAUAUCCAUGACACAGCAAACCAUAUUUCACAUAUAAUAGAUAGCAGCCAUAAUACAUAUGCAUCAUUGACAGGAUGCGUUAUUCGAUAGUGAAAAAAGAGUCCAAGAACAGCAAGGCGGACUAAAAUGGAUAAUCUGUAUGGGCUUAGCCUGCUAGAGGCAAUAGGCAGCUUUCUCGAAAGUGGUUGUCUUCCUUCAUCCAUCUUGGGGAGAUCGGGAUCAUCCAGCUCAUCUCCAUCGUUAUCACCACCUUUGCCUCCAUGCUUAACCACCUGUAGUUUAUCAUUCUGCUUUUUCUUCCAGUCCUCCAUUCUUUCCUUCCAUGCAACAGUACCAUAUCCAUAAACUGCCAAAUCUUUCUUAGGGUCCAUGGGGCGAGGCGGCAAAGACAUGGAUGAAUCAGUAUAAGGCACAGGAUGAAUUUUCUUCCCACGACCCAUAAAAGGUGGUAUGAUAAGUGCAUGUUUAUCAGCUGAAAUUGUAUCAUCCUCUUGACCAUAAGUAAGAAGAGGGAUCUCUGAGUUAAGGGCAGCAGGAUCUACUUCUGCUGGGGUAUUAAGCCCAGAAGCAUUAUAAUUGGUACCGCGGCCAAGUCGAGCAAGUGCAGCCUCAGAAAGAUGUCUAGGUGUACCAUCAUAAUCAAAUUCAUGAUCUAAGUCAUCAAACUCAUCUUCUUCAUCAUCUCCGUCAACUCUUUGGCUCCCUUUAAUACGCUUGUACCUAGUUUUACAUUGAGGGCAAGCUUGAUUCCCUUCUCUCCUUUCAUACUCAUAACAAGGUCUGCAAACAGGAAAUGCACACUCAUUGCAAGCAACAAAUGUCUCCCCAUCUACUGUAACUUCAAUCUCAUCUCCACAAAUCUGGCAAAUCUGUCCACUUAAUUCUUUCACAGAAGUUACUCUUCCAACUUCAUCAGCAUUGAUGAGAACAAAUUCAUUUCUAUUAUGUGAACCAGCAAUAAGCCUCCCUUUAGUAUCCAUUUUGAGUCAAAACAAUCAAGAAUGGAGAAGUAAAACAAACCCCUCUUCAGUUUCAGCACAUUAGAGACCACUCAAAGUGAAAUCCCCUCAAACCAUAACACAUUCAAGAAAAGCACUACCCUUCUCCUCUUCUCUUUAUGACACACUGCUUUUAAACACCCAUUACAA